CAUGCAGCUGGGAGGGGGGCCGUUACACUGUAAGAGAGUGAGUAGCAGGUCUCACAGUGAACCGGUCUCUUUUCCUGCUGUGUC
rnacentral:pre_miRNA from 14 species